UUUCUUUAUUUAAUUCUAUGUCACCUUAUUAGAAUUGUCUAGUUGACAUGCAUGAUACUAGCUAUGAUACUCCCAUUAGGAUCAGCCUAAAACUGAUCAUAGCGGGAGUAAAAGCAUUUAUAACCGUGUAUAAUAAAUAUGACCCUAAAAAUGUCUACACGUUCAUGGGAAGUGACUGGGUACGUCAUAAAUUAGCACAACUGCAUAUGAACAUCUCAUACUAGAUUUUUAAUUCAUAUAAAAGCAUGGAAACAAAAAAAAC
rnacentral:lncRNA from 1 species